AGGAUGAACGCUGGCGGUCUGCUUAACACAUGCAAGUCGAACGGAGUACCUCGGUACUUAGUGGCGGACGGGUGAGUAACGCGUGAGAAUCUGCCCUUAGGUCGGGGACAACCAUUGGAAACGAUGGCUAAAUACCGGAUAAGCCGAGAGGUAAAAGAUUAAUUGCCUAGGGAAGAGCUCGCGUCUGAUUAGCUAGUUGGUGAGGUAAAGGCUCACCAAGGCAUCGAUCAGUAGCUGGUCUGAGAGGAUGAUCAGCCACACUGGGACUGAGACACGGCCCAGACUCCUACGGGAGGCAGCAGUGGGGAAUUUUCCGCAAUGGGCGAAAGCCUGACGGAGCAAGACCGCGUGAGGGAGGAAGGCUCUUGGGUUGUAAACCUCUUUCUUGGGAAGAACAAAAUGACGGUACCAAGGAAUCAGCAUCGGCUAACUCCGCGCCAGCAGCCGC
rnacentral:rRNA from 1 species